rnacentral:rRNA from 1 species
GCCUACGGGAGGCAGCAGUAGGGAAUCUUCCACAAUGGACGAAAGUCUGAUGGAGCAACGCCGCGUGAGUGAAGAAGGGUUUCGGCUCGUAAAGCUCUGUUGUUGGAGAAGAACGUGCGUGAGAGUAACUGUUCACGCAGUGACGGUAUCCAACCAGAAAGUCACGGCUAACUACGUGCCAGCAGCCGCGGUAAUACGUAGGUGGCAAGCGUUAUCCGGAUUUAUUGGGCGUAAAGCGAGCGCAGGCGGUUGCUUAGGUCUGAUGUUGAAGCCUUCGGCUUUACCGAAGAAG